rnacentral:rRNA from 1 species
AAGUUACGAAGGGCGCACGGGGGAUGCCUGUGGCUCUCGGAGGCGACGAAGGACGUGACAAGCUGCGAAAAGCGCCGGCGAGGGGCAAAUGCCCUGUGACCCGGCGAUGUCCGAAUGGGGAAACCCGUGGGGAGCGAUCCCCACACCGGCGAUGAGUCGGGGCGAACGCGGGGAACUGAAACAUCUUAGUACCCGCAGGAAGAGAAAGUAACAACGAUUGCGCAAGUAGUGGCGAGCGAACGCGCAGGAGCCCAAACCGGUGCGGUCAUUCUGGCCGGGACCGGGGUUGUAGGACCGGCGCCAGUACCGACGCGCGAGCCGUAGCCGAACCCGCUGGAAAGCGGGGCCGCAGCGGGUGAGAGCCCCUUAGGCGAAACGUCGCGCGCGAGGUCAGCCGGCACCUGAGUACCGCGGAGCACGAGGAAUUCUGCGGGAAUCGGCGGGGCCCAUCCCGCAAGGCUAAAUACUACCGAGAGACCGAUAGCGCACAAGUACCGUGAGGGAAAGGUGAAAAGAACCUCGAGCAGAGGAGUGAAACAGAUCCUGAAACCGUGCGCCUACAAGCUGUGGGAGCCCCUUCGUGGGGUGACCGCGUGCCUUUUGCAUAAUGAACCUACGAGUUGCCGUCGCCGGCGAGGUUAAGGGCCAUCAGGCCCGCAGCCGAAGCGAAAGCGAGUCCGAACAGGGCGUUUGUGAAGUCGGCGGAGGCAGACGCGAAACCAAGUGAUCUACGCAUGUCCAGGAUGAAGGACGGGUGACUCCGUCUGGAGGUCCGCACCGGUAAGCGUUGAAAAGCUUACGGAUGAGGUGUGCGUAGGAGUGAAAGGCCAAUCAAACUUGGAGAUAGCUCGUACUCCCCGAAAUGUAUUUAGGUGCAGCCUCCGGUUUGAGACCGGCGUGAGGUAGAGCGACCGAUAGGAUGCGAGGGCUUCACCGCCUAUCAAGUCCUGCCGAACUCCGAAUGCCGCCGGCCGCUACCGGGGAGUAAGGGCGCGGGUGCUAACGUCCGUGUCCGAGAGAGGAACAACUCAGACCACCGGCUAAGGUCCCGGAAUCCGGGCUAAGUUGGAGACAAUAACGAAGUGUGACCGCAGAGACAGCCGGGAUGUUGGCUUGGAAGCAGCCAUUCAUCCAAGGAGUGCGUAACAGCUCACCGGUCGAGCGGUCGCGCGUGGAUAAUAAUCGGGCAUGAAGCCCGGUACCGAAGCCGUGGAACUGUCCCCUUGAGGGGCGGUUGGUAGGGGAGCAUUGCAGCGGCGCCGAAGGCGUGCCUUGAGGCAUGCUGGAGCCGCUGGAAAAGCAAAUGUAGGUAUAAGUAACGAUAAAGGGUGCGAGAAACACCCUCGCCGUAAGACCAAGGUUUCCUGAUCCACGCUAAUCGGAUCAGGGUCAGUCGGGCCCUAAGGCUAAGCCGCGAGGCGAGGCCGAUGGCCGAGGCGGUCAACAUUCCGCCACCGGGCACGGCUGCGACGGGGAGACGGAGAAGUGAAACGCCCGCGCGCUGACGGAAUAGCGCGUUGAAGGGGGGUAGGCGUGGAGGGACCCAGGCAAAUCCGGGUUCCGAGCCGAGCCCCGACAGUACGGCGAGCCCAUUGCGGCGAGCCGAUAGCGGCGGUAAUCAUGCUCCCGAGAAAAUCCUCUAAGCGUCAGGCCGCGUCCGCCCGUACCGUAAACCGACACAGGUGGUCGGGUAGAGUAUACCAAGGCGCUCGAGAGACUCAUGGUUAAGGAAUUAGGCAAACUGACCCCGUAACUUCGGGAGAAGGGGUCCUCCGCCGGUAGGCGGAGGCGCAGAGAAUAGGUCCAGGCAACUGUUUAUCAAAAACACAGGGCUGUGCGAAAUUGAAAGAUGAGGUAUACAGCCUGACACCUGCCCGGUGCCGGAAGGUUAAGAGGAGGGCUCAGCCCGCUUGGGUGAAGGUCUGAAUUGAAGCCCCGGUAAACGGCGGCCGUAACUAUAACGGUCCUAAGGUAGCGAAAUUCCUUGUCGGGUAAGUUCCGACCUGCACGAAUUAGUAUCGGUGAAGAUGCCGAUUACCCGCAACGGGACGAAAAGACCCCGUGAACCUUUACUACAGCUUAGCAUUGUGACCGGGUGCGUGAUGUGUAGGAUAGUCAGGAGGCUGCGAGACGGUGGCGCCAGUCGCCGUGGAGCCGUUGUUGAAAUACUGACCUUUGCGCAUCUGGUUCCUAACCCGCUUAUGAGUGGGGACAUUGCUUGGCGGGUAGUUUGACUGGGGUGGUCGCCUCCAAAACAGUAACGGAGGCUUCUAAAGGUCCGCUCAGGCCGAUUGGUAACCGGCCGCAGAGUGUAAUGGCACAAGCGGGCUUGACUGGGAGACAGACAGGUCGUCCAGGUAGGAAACUAGAGCAUAGUGAUCCGGUGGUUCCGAAUGGAAGGGCCAUCGCUCAAAGGAUAAAAGGUACUCCGGGGAUAACAGGCUGAUCCCUCCCAAGAGCUCAUAUCGACGGAGUGGUUUGGCACCUCGAUGCCG